rnacentral:lncRNA from 13 species
AGCUCAACUAUCCUGGGUCACCAGUUGGCUCUGCAGUGGCUAGAAAAUUUUCCUGCAUCUCUCCAGAGCCUCUUCUGGAAAAAUGGAUGUUCCAGCAGAAGGUGGCACAGUUCACCUGGUUUGUCGAGAUCAAGCCCGAGCAGAAGAUGCCAGGAGUGAGAUCAUCCGGGGAACGGUAACCAGAUCAAUAAUGCAGGUUGCAUGAUCGAUAAAAGAGAACUCACAGAAGACGGACUUGAAAAAAACUUCGCUACCAGUACUCUGGGUAAGUACAAGAAGUUUUCUUAUUUGUUUUUAGGAAAAUAAACAUAGAAUGUACCGUAGAAGGAUAAAAAAG